GCAGUCGAGCGGAAACGAUGAUAGCUUGCUAUCAGGCGUCGAGCGGCGGACGGGUGAGUAAUACUUAGGAAUCUACCUAGUAGUGGGGGAUAGCACGGGGAAACUCGUAUUAAUACCGCAUACGACCUACGGGAGAAAGGGGGCAGUUUACUGCUCUCGCUAUUAGAUGAGCCUAAGUCGGAUUAGCUAGAUGGUGGGGUAAAGGCCUACCAUGGCGACGAUCUGUAGCUGGUCUGAGAGGAUGAUCAGCCACACCGGGACUGAGACACGGCCCGGACUCCUACGGGAGGCAGCAGUGGGGAAUAUUGGACAAUGGGGGAAACCCUGAUCCAGCCAUGCCGCGUGUGUGAAGAAGGCCUUUUGGUUGUAAAGCACUUUAAGCAGUGAAGAAGACUCCGUGGUUAAUACCCACGGACGAUGACAUUAGCUGCAGAAUAAGCACCGGCUAACUCUGUGCCAGCAGCCGCGGUAAUACAGAGGGUGCAAGCGUUAAUCGGAAUUACUGGGCGUAAAGGGAGCGUAGGUGGCUCGAUAAGUCAGAUGUGAAAUCCCCGGGCUCAACCUGGGAACUGCAUCUGAUACUGUUGAGCUAGAGUAUGUGAGAGGAAGGUAGAAUUCCAGGUGUAGCGGUGAAAUGCGUAGAGAUCUGGAGGAAUACCGAUGGCGAAGGCAGCCUUCUGGCAUAAUACUGACACUGAGGCUCGAAAGCGUGGGUAGCAAACAGGAUUAGAUACCCUGGUAGUCCACGCCGUAAACGAUGUCUACUAGUCGUUGGGUCCCUUGAGGACUUAGUGACGCAGCUAACGCAAUAAGUAGACCGCCUGGGGAGUACGGCCGCAAGGUUAAAACUCAAAUGAAUUGACGGGGGCCCGCACAAGCGGUGGAGCAUGUGGUUUAAUUCGAUGCAACGCGAAGAACCUUACCUGGUCUUGACAUAUCUAGAAUCCUGCAGAGAUGCGGGAGUGCCUUCGGGAAUUAGAAUACAGGUGCUGCAUGGCUGUCGUCAGCUCGUGUCGUGAGAUGUUGGGUUAAGUCCCGCAACGAGCGCAACCCUUGUCCUUAGUUACCAGCGGGUUAAGCCGGGAACUCUAAGGAUACUGCCAGUGACAAACUGGAGGAAGGCGGGGACGACGUCAAGUCAUCAUGGCCCUUACGACCAGGGCUACACACGUGCUACAAUGGUAGGUACAGAGGGCAGCUACACAGCGAUGUGAUGCGAAUCUCAAAAAGCCUAUCGUAGUCCAGAUUGGAGUCUGCAACUCGACUCCAUGAAGUAGGAAUCGCUAGUAAUCGCGGAUCAGAAUGCCGCGGUGAAUACGUUCCCGGGCCUUGUACACACCGCCCGUCACACCAUGGGAGUUGAUUGCACCAGAAGUGGAUAGCCUAACCUUCGGGAAGGCGUUCACCACGGUGUGGUUGAUGACUGGG
rnacentral:rRNA from 1 species